AGUGAACGCUGGCGGCGUGCUUAACACAUGCAAGUCGCACGAGAAAGCUUCUGCUUGCAGAGGCGAGUAAAGUGGCGCACGGGUGAGUAACACGUGGGUAAUCUACCUCCGAAUUGGGGAUAACAACGCGAAAGCGAUGCUAAUACCGGAUAAUAUCGCGGGUGCCUCGGCACCUUCGAUCAAAGGUGGCCUCUUCUUGAAAGCCGCUGUUUGGAGAUGAGCCCGCGUCCCAUUAGCUAGUUGGUAGGGUAACGGCCUACCAAGGCUUCGAUGGGUAGCUGGUCUGAGAGGAUGAUCAGCCACACUGGAACUGACACACGGUCCAGACUCCUACGGGUGGCUG
rnacentral:rRNA from 1 species